ACCUGCCCGUCUUAUUUGAAUCUCAGAUAACUUUCAAUUGCUGUCCCUUUAAUCCAGCCUUUCUUAACCCACACCUGUGCAUUUCCUGUCUCUGUAAUUUAUUCAGGCUCCUUCUUAGAAGUUAUCUUGUCAUUGAAGACUUCCACGCCCAUGUGUGUUAAAGACAAUACUCAGUCUGAAGUUAAUCUCUUUUCAUUUGGUUUACCUUCCUUGUUAUAGCCUUUAUCUACAUUGAUAUUAUAUUGUAUAUUUAGAGCAUAUUGUUUAUUUUUCCCCCUAAAAUGUGAGAAAAUUUUUCUUAUCUUGAUCUCUACUAUUGACCCCAGUAACAUGAGCAAUAGCUAGCACACAGUCCAGGCUUGAUACAUUUUUGAAUAAAUAAAAGAAAGAAUCAAUGAAUGCAUGGUGGGAAUUUGCUCUUGCCAGAGCUGAAAUUGCCCCUCAUGUAAAUACCUAAGACUGCCAAUGAAGUUAUUUCCAAACACUGUAUAAAUCUCAUCGUGUUGGAGUGUUGCUGAAUUCCAUGCCGAAGUCAGAAAAGUGACUUUCUGCCAAACCCCAUCUCACACAUGGGCCCCUAAACCGAAUUUAUUUUGAUCAGUGUUCUCAAUGUUUCCCCAAACAACUCCUCCAGGCACCAGCCCCAACCUCACACUCAGACUCUCAGCCUUACAUGGAAUUUUUUCCAUCUGCUUUCUGCCCUUACACAAAUCAUAGCAAUUCAGCUCAGUCCAAGGGAUCAGUCAGAAAACAGUCACUAUGCCAUCUUCAGGUCCCUUGUCUAUAAUUGUAUUUCCUGAGGUCCUGAAUCAGAUACCAUUAGGCAUUUCUCUGUCAAUAGAGUAAAGCAUCUGCAGCAUAGAGAAGAGUGUGCUAAGAAUGCAACAUCUAAUUCCCAGCAGAGCCCCAACUUAUUUUGUACCAGAUAAACACAUCUCAAGAAAUACAGGUUAUACAAAGGCAAGGUACAGUGAAGUUUUUAUGACAAAAUGAUAUGAUGUCUGAGGUUUGCUUUAAAAUAGCCCAGUGGAAGUAGGAAGAGGGGUGGGAGAAAAGAGAUAAAACAAGACAGGCAAACAAUUGUCAUUUCCAAUCUCAGUGAUGGAAACCCAAAUGUACCCAUGUGUACUCUUUUCCACACAUCUAUGUUUGAAUCCUUCCAUAAUUAAAAGCCAAAAGAAAGAAACAGACAAAAGAAAGGAUAUAUAGGUUUAGCAGCAGCAGAAUACCAAAUACUUUGCAGAGGCUUUGUAAUUCAGUUAUCUGGCAUUAUAUUUUUAAUGAAACCUCCAGCAAACUCAGACUCCAACUCAAAGACUAAAACUUCUCUCCUCUUUGACAAGUGAUUCCCCCAUGAGAGACACAAGUUCUCAGUUCUGAAUGAAAUGGCACCAAAAAGUACUCAAUCCAUCAUUCUUGUCCCAUUCAAGAUGGAGUUUCUAAAUGUAGCUAGACUCUUCCUGAGGAGCUGUUUGUGGUGCUGAAACAGGGACUCUGUGAGAGUGGCAGACCAGGCACAAACAAGAUGGAUACGCACAUGGAGGGUGCCUUUUCUGCCACAAAUGCAUCAAGCAGGAGGUCAUUGGCGGCAGCAUCUGCAUGCAGUGAUGCUUGUGGGACCUUCUACAAGCAGAAUGAAUAGGUCUACUCUCAUCAUUUGUGGCCCUAGAUUUUAGUGGCUGGAAUUUAUACCAAACUUGGAGAAGAAAAAAAAAAAGUCUUCUUUUUUAGAUGCAAUGUAUCAGCCUUCCUGCUCCUUCCUCUUUGACAUUCUUUCCUAAGUAACAUGCACUCACCCAACUGGCCACUUGCCUGGGUCUGGCCCUAUUAAGAUUUACCUUUGAGUUGUCCAGAAAUGCUACUUUUCACCCAAGGUCUACCUACUGUUCCUAAUCAAUUUAUGGUUAAAAUAUUCAGGCAGCCAAGCUAAGCUAUUCUGUGGCUGGCUCUUAUCAGAAAGCUUGUGCUCUUGCUAGAAUUUCUUCUGGUCUUAUCAGUUUCUUUUAAAAAAAAUCCUUUCUUCCUGCUGAUAUUUCUGACUCAAAAUAAGGAAGAGCAUUGCAAUCAACACUUGAAACUCUUUGUUCUUUGGGCUCCAGAGUGGGCACUCCUGCAGCCACUCUGUUAAUCAGCAGCAACCUUUGUGUCAUAGUGAUUUUUCACUAGUUCUGCCUACUAAUGGGCAGAAGAAUGAUGUUUGUAAACCAUGGGGAAAACUUGUGACAGAGGAACCAAGGGCUCAGACUUCAGUGAGCUAAUUACUCCAUUCUGAAACAGGCUGGGUUGGCCUGAGGUGAUGUUGUGAGGUAGUUGGCAUCUGUCUGCCUCAGUGCAUCACCUAGAUUUUCCUUCCUUCUUGCUAAUUUUUCUUGCUUUUUAUUAUCUAUUUCUCUGCCAAGUGCCCAUUAUUUUCAUGCUUCAAUUUUUUCCACACUGAAAAAUUAAUUUAUUCUAAAGUAUUACAGAUUGUAAUAUUAAUUUCUUACUUUUCACAGGAGAAUUUGAAAAAGGAGAGGUCAAAAGAAAUGGACGGUGGAAUUUUAGAACUGAGGCCACUCUGGAAAGGGUACAUUUUUCCUUUUAGAGAAUUUCAUCAGAUUCUUCACAGCUAUACAAUGUAAUGAAGGGGGAAUCUUAGAGAUAUGUCUUCUUGUCUUUACUCAGGCGAUUAUUAGCUUAAUGAAUAAGGAGAACUGACUUGCCCAUCUGGUCCUCUUUCCUCACUUGCUUAAAAUGAAAGUCUGAAGCUGUAAUAUCCCAGUGCCCAGCAUCACACUUGCACACAGUAGGUGUGCUAUCUGAGAGUGAGCUAAAUGAAUAAAGGGAAACUACUUCCAGCUUUCACAUUUUAUGAGACUAAGUCACAUCUUAAAAGCAAUGAUUUUCUUAUGUAUCUGUCUUGGCUUGGUAUUAGACAUUUGAUCAGUGUGCUUACAAAUUCUACUUGCUUGCUUGGAAACUUACAGAAGAUGAGGCCACAUUCUUGAGUAGUUCAAAUUCUUAUAAAGUACAGGGAAAUUUCAAAGGGAGCUUGUAGUUAAAAGAUAGUUGGUUCAAGAUUUGUGUAGAGGACAGGAUAGGUUUAUAGUAAACAGUAUAGGUGAGUUAUAGAAUAUAAAGUGUCCAUAUAAAAUAUAAAAUAACAAGAAAUACACAAUAUAAAGUAAUAAAGAAGGGUCAUAGCUACAGUUUAGCAUACAUAGAAUAUGUGCUUUAAAACUUCCGACCCUUCACUGAGAUGUUUAGUAGGUGUUUCUACAAGACAUUUCUUAGGAGAGUUUGCAUUUUCUGGACUAUAGUAGGAAAUAUAUCAAUGAUGCCAACUUUCUAUGAAUUUUUAGGCCAUUGGGGAUCAUAUAUGCUAGAAUACUUUCUUUUCUUUCACAUUGUAUUCAUAUACAUUCAUUCACUCAAUCAAUAAGUUCUAAUUUGAAGAUAAAUUAAGUGCCAACUAUGCUGUGAGUAGCUAUAAAAAUGAAGAAAAUACAUUUCAUAUUACUUACAGUACAAUUGGAAAGAUAGCUAAGUAAAUAUAACUACAUAAAUAUAGUAAGUAUUUUAACAGUUAACAUUUAAAUAAUGUGAUUCAAUACUUUGAAAUAAUAUAGAAGAACAGGGAAAAAAACACCUAAGUCUUAUUAGCUGGGGUGUUAGGAGUGACCAGCUGAGGUGGUUUGAGGAGAGUAAAGUUCACUUCUAAAUACACAGAAGUAGGGAAAAGCCUAUAAAUCCACACCAUGUCCCCUUUCCCCCAAAUAAACUGAACUAUUUCUUCUAUUUGGAGCAAAAGUUAAAUGUUAGAGAAUAUUAACAGAUAAGACCAAAAUUGUUGGCAGGAUUCUAUUAUUGAAGAGUUGAGGUUUUGUAUUUUAGUCAUUAGGGAUUUUGGAGUCCUUUGAAAGAAAAUAUCAAUUAGUCUUUGCCAUGCCUGUAAAUUUCAAAACUGUAAUAGGUUAUACACACAGGAAAAUGGUACCUAGUGAUAGAUACACUUUUGGACCUGAAAAUACAUCUUGGGGCACAUCACUUAUGAUUUUUUAAAAUUAGAAAAUUUUAACUGCCACAUAUAUUAAGCCUAGAAUUAUACUCAAAGUUGCUUGCCAUAUAAAGGAAGUUUAUAAAAUAUACCUGUUUAUCUUGAGAACAUUCUAGGAUCCAAGAUAUGGAUACAAAGAAAAUAAAGAGGAAAGUCAUAACAUAUAAAUAUGGGCUUUGUGAUGUGAUACCUACUUUCACACUAAGCCCUUAGUGGGAGGGGUCCCUGGAACAUAGAGUAAUAGGCCCAGGAUUUGUGGAAAAGGUAGAUCUCCAACUUAACUUUGAAGAAUGAAUCAAUUCAAACAACUAAAGGAGGAGGCUAUCCCAUUUCAUCUUGGGAGAUAACAUGAAUAAAGACUUGAAAGUGGAAGUACUGUAACAUUUGGUGAUAAGAUUAAUCAUUUGCUCAUUUUAUAUUAAUUAACCAAAGCUCAUACAUUAUUCAAAUUGCUUAGGUCUUAUCUGAAGGUCCUUUUUUCUCCAGAAUUCCAUCCAGUAUAUCAUAUCUGACUUAGUCAUCAUGUCUUUUUAGAAGACCACAGAGAUAAAGUGCCAUUUUCAUUACAUCAUAUGAAGAGUACAUACAAACAACAUGACAUCACUGUCGAUGUGAACUUUGAUCACCUGGCUGAGGUAGCACUUGUCAGCUAUCCUCAUUUAAAGUUAAUGUCCUAUCCCCACUCCCGUAUUCCAUUCAGUAUUGUUUGAAAGGAUGUCAUCGUAGGCAACUUUAAGGAGAAUUAGACUUUACUUCCAAGGGAAGAAUAUCUACAUAAAUUAUUUGGAAUUCUUUUGCCUCAUUUAUUUAUUUGUUCAAUCUACCACUUAGCUAAGUCUGUGUGCCCUCAUGGGUAUUUAUUUUAUACUCUGGGCUAUAAUCAAAUGCUUCUCAAUUAUCUUGUUACUUAAAUUAUUCCAUCUUUGACCAUUGGAAGCUCUAUCAGUUGGCCACUGCUUUCCUUUGACAUAUCCCUUCAUUGGGUGUUUAGUUAGGUUUUGUUUGUUUUUUAAAGCAAUUCCUUACUUUUCAUCACUUAAAGAUUCUGUGGGUUCAUCUUGUUUAUUUCCUCACCUAGUUGUAGAUUCAGUCAUUUCUCAAAGUUGCCCUCAUUCCUUCAAUGGAGAGUGGUAUUAGAAACCAAGGUCCAGGACAUAGAAACAACCCAAAUGUCCAUUGACAGAUGAUUGGAUUUGGAAGAGGU
rnacentral:lncRNA from 1 species